ACCUUUGUGACGAUUUGCGGUGCUACUAUACAAUUCUACAAUUGUACUUUUAGCUUAAUAGGGAAUCUCGUUAAACUCGAGAACUGUCCCCGCAACUGUAAACCUCUUCAAAUGUCAAAUCAUAUUUGAAACUGAUUGCAAAAUCUAUGGCAUUCUUAGCCUUACCACUGCUACCAUAAGCGGGAAGGUGCUGUAAUCAGGGAGGUGAGUCAGGAGACCUGCCGUAAAUCAUAGUGAACU
rnacentral:ncRNA from 2 species